rnacentral:rRNA from 1 species
GACGAACGCUGGCGGCGUGCUUAACACAUGCAAGUCGAACGGAAAGGCUCCAGCUUGCUGGAGUACUCGAGUGGCGAACGGGUGAGUAACACGUGGGUAAUCUGCCCUGCACUCUGGGAUAAGCCUGGGAAACUGGGUCUAAUACUGGAUAUGACCUUUCUCCUUAUGGGGUUUGGUGGAAAGUUUUUCGGUGUAGGAUGAGCCCGCGGCUUAUCCGCUUGUUGGUGGGGUGAUGGCCUACCAAGGCGACGACGGGUAGCCGGCCUGAGGGGGUGAUCGGCCACAUUGGGACUGGGAUACGGCCCAGACUCCUACGGGGGGAAGCAGGGGGGAAUAUGGCACAAUGGGCGGAAGCCUGAGGCAGGGACGCCGCGUGAGGGAUGACGGCCUUCGGGUUGUAAACCUCUUUCAGCAGGGACGAAGCGUAAGUGACGGUACCUGCAGAAGAAGCACCGGCUAACUAUGUG